CUGAGUGCAUGAUGAUGUCAAGUUAUCCCUGUCUGAAGGCCGAGAGAGGCCUUCCUGUGUGGACUCUGGUGUCUGAAACUCAG